rnacentral:rRNA from 1 species
UACGGGGGGGGCAAGCGUUGUUCGGAAUUACUGGGCGUAAAGGGCUUGUAGGUGGCCAACUAAGUCAGACGUGAAAUCCCUCGGCUUAACUGGGGAACUGCGUCUGAUACUGGAUGGCUGGAGUGUGGGAGAGGGAUGCGGAAUUCCAGGUGUAGCGGUGAAAUGCGUAGAUAUCUGGAGGAACACCGGUGGCGAAGGCGGCAUCCUGGACCAUUACUAACACUGAAAAGCGAAAGCCAGGGGAGCAAACGGG